GGGGGUAUAGCUCAGUGGUAGAGUGUUUGACUACAGAUCAAGUGAUCCUUGGCUCUAAUCCAAGUGCCCCCU